UGCUCUCAUAUAGUACCCUAAAAAUAAAAAAUUGGUAUACAAAUUUCGGAUGGGGUACCUAGGGAUGGGGUACCUGUCCCACCCUAAAACCUACCAAACAUAUAUUUAGACCAAUCACGACAAUAUGGGACUCAAAUGAAAGUUCCAUGUAGCCAUAAUCGUCUAAUACGCCCAUUUGGAGGUGGGGCGACCCCCCUUACUUGGAUUUGAUUUUUAUGAAACCCAUAUUGACAUGCACUCCAAUGUGUCUGUUUAGAGGAGUUUUAGGGUUGGAGCGUCCCCCUGGGUAAUUAAACCCAAGUUUUGAUAUUUAUUUAUUUAUUUUAUUUCAUGCAAUGCGAAGCCAUUUAGCCUAUAAACAAUCACACUAUGUAUACGACGUACUUUUUCAAACAUAAAUUAAAAAACUACUCAAUUAAAAAUAAAAAACUUAGAAAAUGGAAAAAA